CAAUAAGCGGAGGAAAAGAAACCAACAGGGAUUGCCCUAGUAACGGCGAGUGAAGCGGCAACAGCUCAAAUUUGAAAUCUGGCUCUCGGGCCCGAGUUGUAAUUUGUAGAGGAUGCUUUUGAUGCGGUGCCUUCCGAGUUCCCUGGAACGGGACGCCAUAGAGGGUGAGAGCCCCGUCUGGUUGGAUACCAAAUCUCUGUAAAGCUCCUUCGACGAGUCGAGUAGUUUGGGAAUGCUGCUCUAAAUGGGAGGUAUAUGUCUUCUAAAGCUAAAUACUGGCCAGAGACCGAUAGCGCACAAGUAGAGUGAUCGAAAGAUGAAAAGCACUUUGAAAAGAGAGUUAAAAAGUACGUGAAAUUGUUGAAAGGGAAGCGUUUAUGACCAGACUUGGGCUUGGAUAAUCAUCUGGGGUUCUCCCCAGUGCACUUUUCCAGUCCAGGCCAGCAUCAGUUUUCGCCGGGGGAUAAAGGCUUCGGGAAUGUGGCUCCCUCCGGGGAGUGUUAUAGCCCGUUGCGUAAUACCCUGGCGGGGACUGAGGUUCGCGCAUCUGCAAGGAUGCUGGCGUAAUGGUCAUCAACGACCCGUCUUGAAACACGGACCAAGGAGUCGUCUUCGUAUGCGAGUGUUCGGGUGUCAAACCCCUACGCGUAAUGAAAGUGAACGCAGGUGAGAGCUUCGGCGCAUCAUCGACCGAUCCUGAUGUUCUCGGAUGGAUUUGAGUAAGAGCAUACGGGGCCGGACCCGAAAGAAGGUGAACUAUGCCUGUGUAGGGUGAAGCCAGAGGAAACUCUGGUGGAGGCUCGCAGCGGUUCUGACGUGCAAAUCGAUCGUCAAACAUGGGCAUGGGGGCGAAAGACUAAUCGA
rnacentral:rRNA from 1 species